rnacentral:rRNA from 1 species
CAUGCAAGUCGAACGGCAGCGCGGGGUAACCUGGCGGCGAGUGGCGAACGGGUGAGUAAUACAUCGGAACGUGCCCUGUGAUGGGGGAUAACUACGCGAAAGCGUAGCUAAUACCGCAUACGACCUACGGGUGAAAGUGGGGGAUCGCAAGACCUCACGUCAUAGGAGCGGCCGAUGGCGGAUUAGCUAGUUGGUGAGGUAAAGGCUUACCAAGGCAACGAUCCGUAGCUGGUCUGAGAGGACGACCAGCCACACUGGGACUGAGACACGGCCCAGACUCCUACGGGAGGCAGCAGUGGGGAAUCUUGGACAAUGGGGGCAACCCUGAUCCAGCAAUGCCGCGUGUGGGAUGAAGGCCUUCGGGUUGUAAACCACUUUUGGCGGGGGCGAAAUAUCGAGUGCUAAUACCAUUCGGUGAUGACGGUACCCGCAGAAUAAGCACCGGCUAACUACGUGCCAGCAGCAGGGG